rnacentral:rRNA from 1 species
CCUACGGGAGGCAGCAGUGAGGAAUAUUGGUCAAUGGGCGCGAGCCUGAACCAGCCAAGUAGCGUGAAGGAUGACUGCCCUACGGGUUGUAAACUUCUUUUAUAAGGGAAUAAAGUGAGCCACGUGUGGCUUUUUGUAUGUACUUUAUGAAUAAGGAUCGGCUAACUCCGUGCCAGCAGCCGCGGUAAUACGGAGGAUCCGAGCGUUAUCCGGGUUUAUUGGGUUUAAAGGGAGCGUAGGUGGGUUGUUAAGUCAGUUGGGAAAGUUUGCGGCUCAACCGUAAAAUUGCAAUUGAAACUGGCAGUCUUGAGUACAGUAGAGGUAGGCGGAAUUCGUGGUGUAGCGGUGAAAUGCUUAGAUAUCACGAAGAACUCCGAUUGCGAAGGCAGCUUACUAAACUGCCACUGACAUUGAUGCUCGAAAGUGUGGGUAUCAAACAGGAUUAGAUACCCGAGUAGUC